GACGGAGGAUGCAAGUGUUAUCCGGAAUCACUGGGCGUAAAGCGUCUGUAGGUGGUCAAAUAAGUCAACUGUUAAAUCUUGAGGCUCAACCUCAAAAUCGCAGUCGAAACUAUUCGACUAGAGUAUAGUAGGGGUAAAGGGAAUUUCCAGUGGAGCGGUGAAAUGCGUAGAGAUUGGAAAGAACACCGAUGGCGAAGGCACUUUACUGGGCUAUUACUAACACUGAGAGACGAAAGCUAAGGGUAGCAAAUGGGGAU
rnacentral:rRNA from 1 species